rnacentral:rRNA from 1 species
GAUGAACGCUGGCGGCGUGCCUAAUACAUGCAAGUCGAGCGCUGAAGGUUGGUACUUGUUCCUAUUGGAUUAGCAGCGAACGGGUGAGUAACGCGUGGGGAACCUGCCUAUGAGCGUGGGACAACUUCUGGAAACGAAUGCUAAUACCGCAUAAUACUUUAAACACAAGUGUUCAGUAUUAAAGAUGCAAUUUCAUCACUCAUAUAUGAUCCCGCGUUGUACUUGCUAGAUGGUGAGGUAAAGGCUUACCCAGGCGAUGAUACAUAUCCGACCUGGGAGGGUGGACGGCCAACAUGGGACCGGGACACGGCCCAAGAUCCUACCGGGGGGAGCAGGAGGGGAUCUUCCGGAAAGGGCGGAAGUCUUGACGGGCAACGCCGCGGGGGUGAAGGAGGGUCUCGGGAUGGAAAACUCUGUUGGUAGGGGAGAAAGAUGGUGGGAAUGGAAUGCUCACAAAGUGACGGUACCUAACCAGAAAGCGACGGCUAACUACGUG